AUUCACUUAAUAACUAAAAAGAUAAAGAAAACAGUUGGUCUAGGUAAGGAUAAGACUCUUCCCGACCUCCCCUUUUCUUUAGUCAAAAACUCUUAUCUCAGCAGCAAUUUCUUACUCAAUUUAGCUCUAGAACUCGAUUCUUGCCCAGAAUUUCUUGAAUUUUUACCCAUUGAGAGUUACCUAAUCGUUUACCCAGACAAUUUCUCCACCAAAUUGAUGAACAAAAGGUCAAAGACGAUGGAGGGGAGGCUCCAAUCCAAGGUUCCUACGAUACUUAGCCAUACUUGUCGCCGUCGACGCCUGCCGGAGCUUCCACCCAAGACAUGCGCGCAUCCUCUCAGAACGCCGAUAGCUUCUGGUAAAGGCCUUUUUUAUACUAGAAGAUGUAAUCAUGAGAACCUAUAUGUAGACUAGCCACCUCCUGUUUAGCUCAGUCAGUUAGAUAAACAUUGGGAGCAGCUUAUUGCCAGCUCCUGCUUAGAAAAAUCAUCUGAAGGUUAUCCCAAACUGCCAGCUCCUGCUUUGAGCUUGUUGCCCAAGUUUUAAGCUGCUCUAAGAUCAGCCACUUGCUGCACACACUUAACUUUAUGUCUGCAGGUUCUUAAUUAUGGUUAGAAGUGUGUACACAUGUGUUUCCAACAAGCUACUAGGUUUUAACAAGACUUCCAGCCAAAGCAACUCAAUAAGAGGGAACACAACGAGCUAAAGACAGUUGCUGGAAAUUUUUGCACUUUUGCAAAAUGUAAUGGCAGCAAGUCAAGGAAGUUAUAAAUACAAAACAUAAAUAAGAAAUUGAUGUAUUGGUAUUAAUGUAAAUAUAGUACUUGUAGCUAUCUAUGUAACCUUAUUGAAACCAAGCACAAUCUGUGCUAUUUUUUUUUUCUUUUUCUUUUUGACAAAGAAUGUAAACAGGUAAAUGUUUGCUUUUGUUUGUAAGAAACACUUGUGUUCUACUUUA